GGGAUUUCUUUGUAGGUGAGGCGGAAGACUGGAGGGAGCUGAGUACCCGGGAAGAGGGUCCGAUUCCGCCUCGCCGCGCCUCUGGCUGCCGGGCCGUGGGUUUUUCUCUCCUCCUGGGAAUAACGAGGACGACGGCCCCUAACCCCUGAAUUAGCCUUCUAUUUCCAUUAGUGACUUAGAAGCUACCCGGCGCCUCAUCUGGGCUCACCUGAGCUGAGGAUCAGGAAGGGGAGGGGCCACAGUCAUUGCCUCGCGGGCGCGGCGGGACCCCCGCGGAUGGCUUUGUGCGGACUUUCGGCACCGUUAUGCCUGCCCCCCAGCCCGACACCACCUGGGGCCGGCACGCCACGUUACUGUUCGGGGCCGGACCCACCGCCCUGCCUGUUCCGAGGACCCGGACCUCCGAUCCCGGGGAUGGGGGACCCCGAGACCUCAGACCCCACGGAGGUUACCCUGAGACCUCAGACCCCAUGCGGGGACCCCGAGGCUUCAUACCCCCACAGGAGGACCCCAAGACCUCAGACCCCACAGGAUGACCCCGAAAUCUCAGAACCCCGCAGGAGGACCUCGAGACCUCAGAUCCCCAGUAAGGGAGUGAAUGAGACUUCGGAUCCCUGAAGCAGCAAAUCCCUGUGGGGGCAUCCCAGGACUCAGGUCACCGCGGGGUGAACCCAGACCUCACAUUCGGGCAAUCCCCAGGCCGCCGAUCGGCCGGGCAUUACCCACUAUCCCGGCCACCCCCCGGAGCUCAAAGGUUUGGCCCUCCAGCUGCUCCGCCCUGCCGGCUCCCAGGCUCAAACCUCCAGCCCGCGGAUCCCCGCCCCGGAAGCAACCAGGUUCGCGGGAGGUUACCUGAUUAGUCCAAGGUGAUACAGCUGGUAACUGAUGGAGAUGUUGGUACUGAAAUUCACGUACUUUUAGUUCUUUCUAUUGAAUCUAGAGGUAGAAUACAUGUACAAGAAUAUCAGCUACCGUCUACUCAGGUCUCUGAACAAUCUGUUUAUUCAUUCACUCUCAGCAAUUAAUAGGAUCCAGUGAGCCCUCUGUGGUUCUGAAGAAUUGCCUUGAGUAUAUGCAGCCUCAAAAAACCCACUUCCUAGGCUCAGUCUUUGAUCAGUAUUUAUCAUUACCACAAGUUAUUGCUCUAAUAAACUCUACUCUGGAAA
rnacentral:antisense_RNA from 1 species